CUGUUUACCUGGCAGGUAACACAAUGAAAAAAAUUGGUUUCCCCAGGGUGAGGCUCUUCCAUUGUACACUGCUGCUGGGUUGACCAUGUGAUUUCUCCAAAUGUGGGAAACUCAAAAAAUAUUUUGCAUUUUGUAAGUUGCUACUGUACCUACGAA